CCUACGGGCGGCAGCAGUGGGGAAUAUUGGACAAUGGGCGAAAGCCUGAUCCAGCCAUGCCGCGUGUGUGAAGAAGGCCUUCGGGUUGUAAAGCACUUUCAGUGGGGAAGAAAGCCUUGGGGCUAAUACCCUCGAGGAAGGACAUCACCCACAGAAGAAGCACCGGCUAACUCCGUGCCAGCAGCCGCGGUAAUACGGAGGGGGCGAGCGUUAAUCGGAAUUACUGGGCGUAAAGCGCGCGUAGGCGGUCUGAUAAGCCAGUUGUGAAAGCCCCGGGCUCAACCUGGGAACGGCAUCCGGAACUGUCAGGCUAGAGUGCAGGAGAGGAAGGUAGAAUUCCCGGUGUAGCGGUGAAAUGCGUAGAGAUCGGGAGGAAUACCAGUGGCGAAGGCGGCCUUCUGGACUGACACUGACGCUGAGGUGCGAAAGCGUGGGUAGCAAACAGGAUUAGAUACCCGUGUAGUC
rnacentral:rRNA from 1 species